GGGGAGAGUUACUAUCUUCUAGAGGUAAAGGUGACAGGAGACAGGAAGAGGGGGAGAGUUACUAUCUUCUAGAGGUAAAGGUGACAGGAGACAGGAAGAGGGGGAGAGUUACUAUCUUCUAGAGGUAAAGGUGACAGGAGACAGGAAGAGGGGGAGAGUUACUAUCUUCUAGAGGUAAAGGUGACAGGAGACAGGAAGAGGGGGAGAGUUACUAUCUUCUAGAGGUAAAGGUGACAGGAGACAGGAAGAGGGGGAGAGUUACUAUCUUCUAGAGGUAAAGGUGACAGGAGACAGGAAGAGGGGGAGAGUUACUAUCUUCUAGAGGUAAAGGUGACAGGAGACAGGAAGAGGGGGAGAGUUACUAUCUUCUAGACA